GUGCUUGCUUUGGCAGCACAUACACCAAAAUUGGAACAAUAUACAGAAGAUUAGCAUGGCCCCUGCACAAGAAUGACACUCAAAUUUGUGUUCUGUAUUAAAAAAAA
ensembl:snRNA RNU6-450P RNA, U6 small nuclear 450, pseudogene